rnacentral:rRNA from 1 species
AUUGAACGCUGGCGGCAUGCCUUACACAUGCAAGUCGAACGGUAACGCGGGGCAACCUGGCGACGAGUGGCGAACGGGUGAGUAAUAUAUCGGAACGUGCCCAGUAGUGGGGGAUAGCCCGGCGAAAGCCGGAUUAAUACCGCAUACGACCUAAGGGUGAAAGCGGGGGAUCACAAGACCUCGCGCUAUUGGAGCGGCCGAUAUCAGAUUAGGUAGUUGGUGGGGUAAAGGCCUACCAAGCCUACGAUCUGUAGCUGGUCUGAGAGGACGACCAGCCACACUGGGACUGAGACACGGCCCAGACUCCUACGGGAGGCUGCCUGAGACUACCAAGGCACACAGGGGAUAGG